rnacentral:rRNA from 1 species
UACGUAGGGGGCGAGCGUUGUCCGGAUUUAUUGGGCGUAAAGAGCGUGUAGGCGGCCAGGUAGGUCUGCUGUGAAAACUCGAGGCUCAACCUCGAGACGUCGGCGGAAACCAUCUGGCUAGAGUCCGGGAGAGGAGAGUGGAAUUCCUGGUGUAGCGGUGAAAUGCGCAGAUAUCAGGAAGAACACCCGUGGCGAAGGCGGCCAGCUAGACCAGUUCUGACACUGAGGCGCGACAGCGUGGGGAGCAAACAGG